CUAGUUGUACGGGUUUAGACCCGUAGCAAAUAGCUCCGUAACACGUGGUCAAACUACCCUCUGGACCGGAAUACCCUCGGGAAACUGAGGCUAAUUCCGGAUACUGCUUUCAUGUUGGAACACAGAAAGUCGGAAACGGUCCGCCGCCGGAGGACGUGACUGCGGCCGAUUAGGUAGACGGUGGGGUAACGGCCCACCGUGCCGAUAAUCGGUACGGGUUGUGAGAGCAAGAACCCGGAGACGGUAUCUGAGACAAGAUACCGGGCCCUACGGGGCGCAGCGGGCGCGAAACCUUUACACUGCACGCCAGUGCGAUAAGGGGACCCCGAGUGCGAGGGCAUACAGUCCUCGCUCUUCGUGACCGUAAGAAGGUCUCAGAAUAAGAGCUGGGCAAGACCGGUGCCAGCCGCCGCGGUAAUACCGGCAGCUCGAGUGAUAGCCACUAUUAUUGGGCCUAAAGCGUCCGUAGCCGGCCGAACAGGUCCGUCGGGAAAUCCACCCGCUCAACGGGUGGACGUCCGGCGGAAACCAGUCGGCUUGGGGCCGGGAGACCAGAGAGGUACGUCCGGGGUAGGAGUGAAAUCCCGUAAUCCUGGACGGACCGCCGGUAGCGAAAGCGUCUCUGGAGAACGGACCCGACGGUGAGGGACGAAAGCUUGGGUCUCGAACCGGAUUAGAUACCCGGGUAGUCCAAGCUGUAAACGAUGCUCGCUAGGUGUGGCGUUGGCUACGAGCCAGCGCUGUGCCGUAGGGAAGCCGAGAAGCGAGCCGCCUGGGAAGUACGUCCGCAAGGAUGAAACUUAAAGGAAUUGGCGGGGGAGCACUACAACCGGAGGAGCCUGCGGUUUAAUUGGACUCAACGCCGGACAUCUCACCGGCACCGACAGUGUGCAGUGACAG
rnacentral:rRNA from 1 species